UUAAGUGAAAAUGACAAGAGUUUUGGGUAUUCUUUUUCAGAUCUGCUAUCUAUUAAGUUCUGCCCUCAUUGAGUUUCUAUGCAGAGAGAUCAUAUGAUAGCUAGCUCUGAGUAUUUACACCCAAUUCUGUGAGAAUGGAACUGCAAUGAUCAAGCGGGUGGACAUGCACUGUACUAGAGACAUUAAGAGAUUGUGAUGUGUGUUACUUUCGAAGCUAACAGUUAGCUGCUCGACCAAGUAUGAACGCAGAUGAGACAAUGAAUUGCAUUCUGACUAAGUCAAAAUUAGUAUGAUCGAAUUUCAUGAAAAUUACAUUGGAAGGUAUGCUUGAGGCCAUCACAAUUCAGGAAUUGGCUCAGAGGACUGGAGCAGCCGCUGCAUGGCCUAUUUAGCAACCUGUGUUGGCUGCUGACUUUAGUUUGCUAGGCCUCUAGAUUUAGCAUUUCAACUAUAUGAUGUGUGAGUAACUUGAAUGGUGUAUCAAGAUUUUUCAAUGUAACAGCUACUUGAAUGGUUAAAUGAGCUGCUAGUGACAGUAAGUUGAAUGGUUAAAUGAGAUUUUAGUAUGUAUGGCUUAUUUGCUC